CCACAUAAAAACCUGAUGCAGAUGAUAAUUUGGAUGAACACUUUAAAAUCUUCAAAAGUAAAUUUCUUGACGAACAUAGUAACAUUAAAGCUGACGUGUGCGA